CCGGGCCGGGCACGAGGCGGGGACCCCCAGAAACAUACCGAAACCGUCUCCAUGGCUGCCUCUGAAAUAAAGCGGUGUGUGUGGGAAGAGAAACUCGAGGGGGAAGUUCAGCAACCAACGCAGAGACUGAUUUUUUUGUUGAAGCCUCGCGUGUCUGUUCCUUUUGGUGAUGGUGGUGACGGAGGUGCACGAUGGAUACAAUUUUUGUAACACAGCAGUUGCCUCCAAACCCAUUAACCAGCCAUGAACGGAGUGGAGCAUCUCUGGUCCAUUUUAUUUUCUGGACUUCUGUCGGUGGUGCAAACUGAACUGCAGGCUUGUAACCAAACUUUGCAAAGGGUCUCCUUCGGCUCCUCAACCGCAGAGACGCCAGGCUGCGUGGCCACUGGCCACACCUUUCCUCGGGGCGUGCCAGCCAAGGCAAGUGGCGGUUGGAUGGCGUGCGUGGUCCCGUGUCCGCCUCUAACUCUUUAUAUGUUGUUGACUAGGGGUAACCGCAGCAGUGCUGUGGCCGUGGCCCCGCCGACGCACAGGAGAAGAGAAUCCACGAGAAGUCUUCGAAUGGCUAGCAAGUGGCCCUGAGGCCCAUACAUGGCUACGUGUCAGCUGAGCUGAGACAAACGAGGUGACAGAAACACAAGGGAAGGAAGGAAGCACGGUUAUGCAGCUGCCCACUCCCCUCUGCCCAGACUGGUCCUCGGCGAGCCGCCACCCUGGACUGAUGAGAAUAUGCCAGUGAUAAACCACAACUGUGGGAAACACUGGGUGGGGGCAUAAAUAUCAUCUGUAAACAAUUAGGCAGCCACUGCUCAUUCAGUGCCGUUUUGAGAAGCUAAGGAAGUCUGCAAUCAGUUAUAUCUCCAAUUACCAUAAAAAUAUAUUAGCCAUUCAUUCAUUUAUUAAUGAUUCAUCAGUUAACCACACAUAAUGAGCAAAUAAUUAGCAGUGCUGUACGGUUGCCAAAAUUGAAGAAGUGUUGGCAUUUUAAAGAUGAAAGGUUGCAUUUAUGCAAAAGUCUGGCGAUGAUAAAGUUAAUAUGGAAGAUAAUUAUAAAAGUGGCUGUCCUAUAUUACAGACUGAGGUACCACAAAACUUGCCUAAUUGAACCGAAAUGAAUAUUCUUCCAAAGUCUGCGUGUUGCCACACACAAACUGCUGAAUUUCUCCCGAAGAUCUCCCUUCAGUAAGGUGCACUGCACAAUACAAGUUAAUAAAAUGCCAGACAGCUAGACUGUGUUCUUUGUUUGCUUGGUUCAGGGCCUCGUGGAAAACAAUAAAUUGCAUUCAUGUCAGCUGAGGCCCAUCCCUUUGCUAAUUACCGUUUGGUGCUGAAAUGACUUCUGUGAAAUUGGGAGCAUGAGGAAACAUACAGCCAUACAAGGGAGGCUUUUCAGAGUUUUGCAGUAAAUGUGAGAUAGGCCUCAGGCACACAGAUGUUAAAACAGUGAAUUCCCCCACAGAUUACACUAAUGGAAACCCUGUCAGGGUGCAGUGCUGGGCCCUAGGACUUCAGAGAGGCAACGUCAGGGUUCCUGCUCUUGGGAGACUCUCAUUUCUGCUUGGGAAGCAGGCGCUCAAACUUCACGAAGCCAGAUUUCUGCAUCAUUACAAUGCCUGGCAUGCAGGAGGCCAAUAAAUGUUUGUUGAAUGAAUGGAUCUGUUAAAA